ACAUUUCACAUCUCAGAGACCUGAACAAAAAACAGAGACUAAGUUAAAGAAAAAAUGAGAAAAUUGAAUAAAAACAAAAGAAGGACGAAUCUAGAUCUAAUAAUUACGUACUCCAUUCUACGCUAUAUAGAGGAUACCGUGACAGUAACAUAAUACACGUUUUUAUGGCUUCAAACAAUUGGCAGCGACAAAAAAGACUCGGUUUUUGGAAACUGAGAACUUUAUAGGAACUGCUAAUAUAUAAAGCAAUAGGACGAAUCUUUUUUUUUUGAUAAAAAUAGGACGAAUCUUGAAUAAAAGCAGUUCGUUAUCAAAGUUAAUAUAUCCCAAUGGAAAUAUGUAAGGAGGUUAAAGAGUAACCUGAAUUUGACGAAAUCUAUUUAUUUCACCUUGUUGGCAUUUGAUUGCUCCAGAAUGUCCUUUCCGAUGAGAAUCAUAGUGAGAUCAUUCUUCUGCGUUUUUGAGAAAUCUAAACAUCAAAGGUUCCAACCAUCAAACAUAAGAAUACACACAUAAAUAUAGAGAGGUCGCAGGAAAUUUUCAGAGUCGCAAAAAAUUGAUCAAAACAUGAACUUAGUCAUGUUAUCGGCAUGUUUGUUUUAUUAAGUUUCUCAUGCUUUCUCGCCAUUUCCUAAUUUACAAAAAAAAAA
rnacentral:lncRNA from 1 species